rnacentral:tRNA from 1 species
AAUGAAGUGCCUGAUUGAAUAGGGCUAUUUUGAUAGAAUAGAUCAUGUGAAAUUCACCUUCAUUA